rnacentral:lncRNA from 10 species
UCUCACUUAUAAAGUGAGAACGUGCGGCAUUUGAUGUUCUGUUUCUGCUUUACGUUAAUUUGCUGAGAAUGAUGGCCUCUAGCUCUAUCCAUGUCCCUGCAAGGACAUGAUCUCAUUUUUUUUAAUGGCUGCAUAGUAUUCCGUGGUGUAUAUGUACCACAUUUUCUUUAUCCAGUGCAUCAUUGAUGGGCAUUUAGGCAGACUCCAUGUUUGUUUUUUUAAAUAGAAUAUUUGAUAUUUUUCUAAUUGUAAUUAAUUUUUUUUUCAAAAUUGCCAGUAAGCACCAUAGAGGCAAGCAGCUUGCUUAAUUAGUCUUUAAUGCACGUCUACUCUUGGACACAUUGUGAUCACUUACAUAUUGUGGAAAGAGAGGAUAAUAAAAGACAGAAGACAAAGAUGAAAACGGAGAAGAAGGAAAGAAAACAUUAAAUGCGAGAAAUGCAUUAAGCGUUUUUAGAAGAAUGGACACUGUCGAGGCCCUGACAGUCUGGUGACGAUUUGUUUGUGUUGGAGUAACCAACAUCUGGGCAUAGCUUCUCACGCAUCUAGGUCUCUCCAGGAGUCUAUAUCAAGGAGAUAUUUUACCAGAUGACUUGCUCAUUCCAAAUCCGUAAACGUCUAUUAAUUACAUUUGAGGUAAUUCCACAAUGUUUAAUAUAAUAAUGUUUUAAUAUGCAUUAUUGAAACUAAAUAUGUAUAUUUUCAAAGGAAGUUUUGCGAAUGUUUCACCUAUCCAGAUCUGUGCUACCAGGGUAACACCACGUUCUUAAGGGCCU